ACGGAAGGCAGCAGUGAGGAAUAUUGGUCAAUGGGCGGAAGCCUGAACCAGCCAAGUCGCGUGAAGGAUGAAGGUAUUAUGUAUUGUAAACUUCUUUAGAUGCAGAGAAAUAAGCCCCUCGCGAGGGGUGAUGCUAGUAUGCAUAGAAUAAGGACCGGCUAAUUCCGUGCCAGCAGCCGCGGUAAUACGGAAGGUCCGGGCGUUAUCCGGAUUUAUUGGGUUUAAAGGGAGCGCAGGCGGCCUUUUAAGCGUGUUGUGAAAUGUAGGGGCUCAACCUCUGCACUGCAGCGCGAACUGGAGGGCUUGAGUACGCGGGAAGUAGGCGGAAUUCGUCGUGUAGCGGUGAAAUGCUUAGAUAUGACGAAGAACUCCGAUUGCGAAGGCAGCCUACUGUAGCGCCACUGACGCUAAAGCUCGAAAGUGUGGGUAUCGAACAGGAUUAGAUACCCUGGUA
rnacentral:rRNA from 1 species